GAAAAUCCUAACGAAGUAUAACUCUUUUUUUCCUGGAAAAAAACGGCGUAGGGCGGCCAGAUCCAAAUUGCGAUUGCGCAGCGCGCAAUUAAACCGGUGUGUCCGAAAUUUGUUAAAUUUUUGCGAGCGUGUUCUGCGGGAGGAAUCACAGCUAGCUACAAUUCAUACAGUAGUUCAAAAUAACCAUAUACGGUUUUGUGAAAUAGUGAGGCAGUAUUUUUCCAAUGUAUAUUGUAUAUAAUUAAUAUAUUAUAUUCUUUAUAUAUUGUGGAGCUUUCUUGCUAAAAUUUGUAAGGGAUUAUCGCAAAAUAUAUUCUUUUUAAAUUAUAACGGUUAUCAAUUACUCAACUGAUCAACUGAUUGCAAUUGUUUAUAAUCGAAAGAUGAUUAAAAAUAAAAAGAUUAAUUAAAUUUAAUAAAAUCCGUAAAAUGAGCUAUAAAAUAAAACCCCAAAGCCAAAAGUAUACCGUUGGUUGAACAAAAUUACAAAAACUGUUAUCCUGAACCGUUGUACUGAGAGUGAGUUAGUGGUGAAGGAGAAAAAAAAGUCAACUAGAAACUCACCAAAACAUGUCUCUCGGAGGCUGGACCGACAGCAAAGUGGGUAAAGCGAUAUCCCUGUCCUCGCUAAGCCAAGCACAUUCACUACAACAACCUAAUAGCAGCAAAAACGAGACACUAAUCAUAGAACCAGCAACCAACGUCCCAUCUCCCCCAGCAGAUAUAAUUUGUUUGUAAGUCGUUUGUAAACAUUUUCUUAUUUACCCUUGUUCUUUUCAUUUUUUUUUACGGAAAACUAUUUCAGUGGGUGUGUAGCGGGGAUGUAUAGGGCUAACAAAACACGACAGAACACGAACUGACAUCACAACUGCCAUCAGACAUUUGAGAGUUGAGCGACGGACGCGAGCCAGUCGUCUGAGAAUAUGCAAUGGAAACAAAACAGAGCUGGCAGAACAGCUGGCAAGCCAGCAGUAUGGCGACGCCGCCAUUGCCAGAAGGGCAGAUAGAUCCCGAGCACUCCUGCAGUAUUUGCGGGAGUGUAUUCUCAUCCCUAGCGCAAUUGAGACAACAUGGUAGGAGGGGUUCCUAAAGAGGGAGCUUAGCUGGGGUGCUAAAUAAUUGUCAACUUUGUGACCGAAAUUUCGCCACCUACGCAGAUUUUAGACGGCACGAGAGGCUGGCCCACCUCGUCCAAUAUAAUAAACACCUAGGCCCUACCAACUUCUCCAACUUCUCAGCCAUAGAGUCUUUGUCGCUCAAUGAAGAGAGAGGAAAAGACGCUCUGGCUGAGUGGGUUAAUAAGUUGACGGGCUGCAUCAGCAAAGUACGUCGCAACCCGACACGACAAACUGAGAAUCGGACAGUAAGACCCACCAAUAAGGCCACACGAGCUGCGAUGUACCAUCGUGCGAAAAAUUAGCGAAAAACCCUAAAAAAUUAGCCGACCUCAUUUUAGAAAAUUAAAAUUGGUAUCAAAUAAGCCCCACGAAUAUGACUGCCGCGAAAAGAAUUUUGCAGGAUCUUCGCCGAACAAUCGAUUAGCGAUAAUGAGCCGAUUGCAGAAGACUACGGAAGACGAGGGAAGACUACGUAAAAGUAAUUCACCUCCGCUUCAAUCUCUUGCCGUGCAGAAAAUUGCCAAUGGCAGGAAUCGAAUUGUCAUGUACUACAGGCUUGUCUCACAACGCAUGGUGAACGCAUUGCGCGCCACAAUGUAGUGCAGGACAAUAUAGAGACUGUAGCUAGGCGUAAUAGCUGGGGGAUAUCAGUUCAGCGACAUGUCAUUGGCAGAUAUGGACGCUUGCUCAAGCCGGAUCUCAUCCUAACCAAGGGAGACCGCGUGAUUGUUCCACAACGAAAACAUCUGUCAUAAAGGGGGGAAUAAUCAUUCACUCGACCUAUAUGAGAAAAGUGUGGGAGCCGUAUAUUAGAAACAGGAUCUUCUACCAAAUACGUAUUUAUACAUGUAUCUAAAUACAAUUAUAUAUGUGUAUGUUUAUAUGGAUAUAAUACUUAAUAAAGAACGGUUCUAAAUAUGUAAAGUAGAUACCAAGUAAGAGUAUAUAGAAAGGUAUUUUCAUAACCAAAUGCCUCGUCGUCUAAUUAGUGACGCGCAUGGAUGAAUUAAAGAGAUCCUUUCUGUCCCUAUCUACUAUCUAGCGAAACCACAGCCAAGGGAACGGGCUUGAAAAAAUUAGCGGGGAAAGAAGAUCCUGUUGAGCUUGACUCUAAUAUGGCAGUGUAAGGAGACAUAAGAAGUGUAGAAUAAGUGGGAGAUAUUGUUCUUUCGGGUUCAUUGUCGCCAAUGAAAUACCACUACUCUUAUUGUUUUCUUACUUACUGGAUUAAGUGGAACGUGUAUCAUUACUUAGCCAUUAUACGGAUACAUUUAUAUAACUCAUGGUAUUAGGGUCUGACGCAAGCUUUUUGAACAAAGUACUAAAGAAUUGGUUAUAUAAUUGUAAACAAAUUUUAAUGAGAUUGUUUGACAUUGCGGUGAUUAUUCAAUCAAUAUUUAGAAUUUGGUAUAACUCCCAAUACUCAGGUAUGAUCCAAUUCAAGGACAUUGCCAGGUAGGGAGUUUGACUAGGGCGGUACAUCUCUCAAAUAAUAACGGAGGUGUCCCAAGGCCAGCUCAGUGCGGGCAGAAACCACACAUAGAGCAAAAGGGCAAAAGCUGACUUGAUCUCGGUGUUAAGUACACACAGGGACAGCAAAAGCUCGGCCUAUCGAUCCUUUUGAUUUAAGGAAUUUUUAAUAAGAGGUGUCAGAAAAGUUACCAUAGGGAUAACUGGCUUAUGACGGUCAAGCGUUCAUAGCGACGUCGCUUUUUGAUCCUUUGAUGUCGGCUCUUCCUAUCAUUGUGAAGCAAAAUUCACCAAGUGUUGGAUUGUUCACCCAUGCAAUGGAGCUGGGUUUAGGCCGUCGUGAGACAGGUUAGUUUUACCCUACUAAUGACAAUAUGUUGUUGCGACAGCAUUCCUGCGUAGUACGGGAGGAACCGCGGGUACGGACCAAUGGCACAAUAUUUGUUCGAGCGAACAGUGGUGGCCUCUAAGGUCGUAUCCGAGCUGGACUGCAAUGAUAAAAAUGAGGCAAUUACAUUGCAUGGCUUUUAAACCAUUUAAAGUUUAUCAUUUUUUUAUGAUAAACGACAAUGGAAUGUGAUGCCAAUGUUUUAUUGUAACAUAACAAAUGCAGG
rnacentral:rRNA from 1 species